CGCAAGACUUCUACUUUUGUAGCACCU
rnacentral:piRNA from 1 species